AGCAGCCGCGGUAAUUCCAGCUCCAAUAGCGUAUAUUAAAGUUGUUGCAGUUAAAAAGCUCGUAGUUGAAUUUCGGGGUUAGUAGGUUGGUCAUGCCUCUGGUAUGUACUGGUCUCACUGAUUCCUCCUUCCUGAUGAACCAUAAUGCCAUUAAUUUGGUGUUGCGGGGAAUUUGGACUGUUACUUUGAAAAAAUUAGAGUGUUUAAAGCAAGCUAACGCUUGAAUACAUUAGCAUGGAAUAAUGAAAUAGGACGUUCGAUCCUAUUUUGUUGGUUUCUAGGAUUGACGUAAUGAUUAAUAGGGAUAGUUGGGGGCAUUAGUAUUCAAUUGUCAGAGGUGAAAUUCUUGGAUUUAUUGAAGACUAACUACUGCGAAAGCAUUUGCCAAGGAUGUUUUCAUUAAUCAAGAACGAAAGUUAGGGGAUCGAAGACGAUCAGAUACCGUCGUAGUCUUAACCAUAAACUAUGCCGACUAGGGAUCGGAUGAUGUUAAUUUUUUAAUGACUCAUUCGGCGCCUUACG
rnacentral:rRNA from 1 species